rnacentral:rRNA from 1 species
AUUGAACGCUGGCGGCAUGCCUUACACAUGCAAGUCGAACGGCAGCGGACCUUCGGGUGCCGGCGAGUAGCGAACGGGUGAGUAAAGUAUCGGAACGUAGCUUUCAGUGGGGGAUAACAUAGCGAAAGUUACGCUAAUACCGCAUACGACCUGAGGGUGAACGCAGGGGAUCGCAAGACCUUGCGUUAUACGGUCGGCUGAUGUCAGAUUAGCUAGUUGGUGAGGUAAAGGCUCACCAAGGCGACGUUCUGUAGCGGGUCUGAGAGGAUGAUCCGCCACACUGGGACUGAGACACGGCCCAGACUCCUACGGGAGGCAGCAGUGGGGAAUUUUGGACAAUGGGGGCAACCCUGAUCCAGCCAUGCCGCGUGAGUGAAGAAGGCCUUCGGGUUGUAAAGCUCUUUCGGCCGGGAAGAAAUCGCACAGGCUAAUACUCUGUGUGGAUGACGGUACCGGCAUAAGAAGCACCGGCUAACUACGUGCCAGCAGCCGCCGCCG